AUCUUAUUGGCAGACAAAUGCAUUAGAAUUAGAAUCUAAAUAAACUAAAAUACUAUC
rnacentral:tRNA from 1 species